GAGAGAUUAAAGAAGGGGAUUUGGAGUUUUUUAAUAAGGAGUUGAAGUAGAAUGGAUCUGUUAAGUUCAAAGUUCUAUAACUUUGAUUUUUUG
rnacentral:tRNA from 1 species